GGCCCAGGUGGGGCAGGGAAGUGACAGUGGUGUGGGUUUCUAUCCCAAGCUCUCAGACCCCAUGUGCAGGUGUGCAGGCGGCAUCAGGGCCAAUCAAACGCCAGGACGCAGAGGCCGGGACGAGAUGAUGACAGAGCUGAGGUCUGUGUGGGAGGAAGUCCCCGGGCUCCGUGCAUCAGGCAUCGGUCCCCUUCCCGUGGCUGGCGCCUCAGCUUGGCCUUUCUCCUGUGUCAGGUGACCUGAGGGCUGUGCUGAGCCCCCCAGAGCCUCCCAUCAGAGACCGGAGUGGCCUCUGGCCUCCUCGGGAAGGAGGACCGUGCCUGACAGCAGGAUCCAUAGGCCUGAGUCAGUGAGUUUCUCCAGCAGAGGAAUGGUGACAAAAGACACCCACGCUGGAUCUCACAUAGAAAAUCCCUCCGUGCGUGUUUCAAAGAAGGAUGACAAAAGAUACUUGUAUGCACAUUAAAAAUGAGUAGAAGGAGAGAAAAGCAGACAGAGGUCCCUCAGCGUGCGAUGGCGAUGACGGGGAGGCCCAGGAGCGGGAAGAAGAGCUGCGGUCUGAAAGGUUCUCAUGGCCUGGACACUGAUGCGUGGGCUGCAGGGCCAACCCCCGACGGUCUGUCCUAGGGGGACAGUCAGCCUCCUGCAAGAUA